rnacentral:rRNA from 1 species
GACGAACGCUGGCGGCGUGCUUAACACAUGCAAGUCGAACGGAAAGGCCCUGCUUUUGUGGGGUGCUCGAGUGGCGAACGGGUGAGUAACACGUGAGUAACCUGCCCUUGACUUUGGGAUAACUUCAGGAAACUGGGGCUAAUACCGGAUAGGAGCUCCUGCUGCAUGGUGGGGGUUGGAAAGUUUCGGCGGUUGGGGAUGGACUCGCGGCUUAUCAGCUUGUUGGUGGGGUAGUGGCUUACCAAGGCUUUGACGGGUAGCCGGCCGGAGAGGGUGACCGGCCACAAUGGGACUGAGAUACGGCCCAGACUCCUACGGGAGGCAGCAGUGGAGAAGAUUGCACAAUGGGCGGAAGCCUGAUGCAGCAACGCCGCGUGCGGGAUGACGGCCUUCGGGUUGUAAACCGCUUUCGCCUGUGACGAAGCGUGAGUGACGGUAAUGGGUAAAGAAGCACCGGCUAACUACGUG